rnacentral:lncRNA from 1 species
CUGAAAUAUGGAAGAUUUGUUUUUUUUUAUCAAGAUAAUUAUAUAGGUAUUUAGAAACACAAAAAAAUCGUUAGUUUAAAUAUUAGAGAAUCUAAGUUUUUUGCCAUUAGAAAAAUUUUGCAAGAAAGUAUUAUUAAAUAAAAAUACUCUAAAGAGAUUUUGGAAGUUUUUCAUUUUUUUGUAUUUAGUUGACUACAACUAUAGUCAAAAUGAUAAAUGAGUAGAUCCCCUGAUGAUCAGGUGCAGACAAACUUAAAGAUUAUAAACCUCUUUUCCCUUCAGAUCUCUAUUCUGCAGCUAACAGUAUUGGACAUGACAGAAAAUGGGGGGUGGUUUAACUACGCUCUACUGACCAAACAACCAUCUUGUGGUUGAAACCAAACGACUUAUUGAAGUUGGGAACAUGCACCUUCAAUGAGCUGUACCCAGUUUUUCUUUAUGGUUGCGUCGUCUCUCAUUUUCCGGCCGACAGACUCCAAAUUGAAACCACUGCAUGCAGUUAUGAAAAUGGAAAGCUCACUCUCGUUACUCCAUAGACAUAGUUCCAAUAUUUCGGCAUGUGACACUAGCCAUCUGUUACUGGACUGUUACCAUGGAAACAUUUCCCCACUUCUCUUCCUCUUCAUCCCCUGCAUUACUCCCCAAGCAGGUGAUUCAACCUUGGAUUGUUCACCUUGUGCCAGAAUAGGGAUGUCCAGCUUAUGUUUCAACUAUUGAACUUUGAAGCUUUCUUGUUGUUAAAGUUAAGGGAUUUAAGAAAUUGGAGAUUUGUUGGAACUGUACUUUUACUAUAUACUGUAAUUGCCUAUUGUAAGUAGCACAAUUGGAUUUAACUUCUAAACAAGAAGACAAAAUGACGUUAUUUUAUAUUAAUUUUCUGUAUCUUGCUUGAUAUGCAAAGGAUUUCUG